rnacentral:rRNA from 1 species
UACGUAGGGUCCGAGCGUUAAUCGGAAUUACUGGGCGUAAAGCGUGCGUAGGCGGUUCGUCGCGUCGGCUGUGAAAACCCGGAGCUCAACUCCGGGCCUGCAGUCGAUACGGGCGGACUAGAGUUCGGCAGGGGAGACUGGAAUUCCUGGUGUAGCGGUGGAAUGCGCAGAGUAUCAGGAGGAACACCGAUGGCGAAGGCAGAUCUCUGGGCCGUAACUGACGCUGAGGAGCGAAAGCGUGGGGAGCGAACAGG